UUUUUUUUUGAAAUAAAGGAAGCUCAACACAUUAAAGUAAAGCAUAAGAAAUAAAGAAGAAGACAUACAACGAGCUACCAACGAAACCAACACCUAACAAUCCCAGACCUAUCAAUAGCCUCCCCCAGAAUCACCACCACGCCAUUCUGUAUAGCUCAUCACCGUCUUUGUGUAUAACUUUCUAAUUGGAUAUUCGGAUAGCGAUUGGGUUGCAUGUCC